rnacentral:rRNA from 1 species
ACCUACGGGAGGCAGCAGUAGGGAAUCUUCCACAAUGGGCGAAAGCCUGAUGGAGCAACGCCGCGUGGGUGAAGAAGGUCUUCGGAUCGUAAAACCCUGCUGUUAGAGAAGAAAGUGCGUGAGAGUAACUGUUCACGUUUCGACGGUAUCUAACCAGAAAGCCACGGCUAACUACGUGCCAGCAGCCGCGGUAAUACAUAGGUGGCAAGCGUUAUCCGGAUUUAUUGGGCGUAAAGGGAACGCAGGCGGUCUUUUAAGUCUGAUGUGAAAGCCUUCGGCUUAACCGGAGUAGUGCAUUGGAAACU